AAACCGUUAAACGGAACGAUCACUGUUUUAGACGUGGAUGCACGGUAAUAAAAUUACGAAAAUGUGGUCAUCGUUAUGUGAAUUGUGGUGUUGCAGCUUUCCAUGCUCUCCACUCUAUGCUGUUUGGCGGAUUUGAUACCUGAGCCAGCCACCGUAACAGCAAAGUUUUGCUUUUGCUGGACCUCCAGUCACAUGAUUUGACUGAUGAAGACCUCCUGUCAUCAAUCAACAAUCACAGCAUCAUUACUUAGAUAAACAGCAUCCUGUUUAAUUGGACGAAUUUCCAGUCUUGGCCGAGUUGCUGAUCUCUUCUUCCGCUUUCUUUAGAUGUCCCUGUGUACGCCCAUGCGAGUGUGGGUGUAUUCACGAGGACUCCCGUUUACCAAUCCCU